UGUAACUAAGAUGUGUCAAAUCUAUAUGCACGGUCUUUCAAAUGUUUAAGGUAGAAACUAAGGAUUUUUUAAAUCAUCCUAUAAAGAACCAUAGGUGUGUUAAAAUCUUUACAAUUCUUGAAAAAAAGUAUAACAGGCACAAAUCCUGUAGUAAUCACAAAACAAAAACAUUAAGAAGCACCAAACGACUUGAGCAGUCUCAUAAAUAGUCUCCUGCCCUGAAUCCUCAAACCAUUCUCCAAACUGCAUGGAGACUGAUCUUCUUCCACUGAUAAUCCUUUGAAGGUAUUCCUAUUGGGUCGAAAUAAAGUGUAAACUCAUUACCUUGUAAUGUUAGGUCCUUUUUGAUCCUGUCCCAAUCACUGGAAUAGCUGCUGACCACUCCCACAUUCAAAUGGUCAGAGCUCAGAUUUGAUAUCAUAGGUAGAUAUGGCAUAAUUUGUUUGCAGAGGAAUACUGAAUAUCUUAUAAAAAAUAGAAAGUGUCAAGAGACCAGCUAAGAAAAUGUUGCUGUAUUCAGUCACGAACUAACUGAAAAGGGCAAGGGUAAUAACUCCGAGAUAAAUAAAA
rnacentral:lncRNA from 1 species